rnacentral:rRNA from 1 species
ACGACGCUGGCGGCGUGCUUCAUACAUGCAAGUCGAACGAGAAGUUACCUUCGGGUGAUGGAAAGUGGCGGACGGGUGAGUAAAAUGUAGGAAAUCUGCCCUAGAGAGGGGGACAACGGUUGGAAACGACCGCUAAUACCCCAUAUGAGCGUACCUGGAAUGGUAUUCUUGAAAACUCCGGUGCUCUAGGAUGAGCCUGCAUCUGAUUAGCUAGUUGGUGAGGUAACGGCUCACCAAGGCUGCGAUCAGUAGCCGGACUGAGAGGUUGAACGGCCACAUUGGGACUGAGAUACGGCCCAGACUCCUACGGGAGGCAGCAGUGGGGAAUAUUGGGCAAUGGGGGAAACCCUGACCCAGCAACGCCGCGUGAAGGAAGAAGGCUUUCGGGUUGUAAACUUCUUUUACCAGGGACGAAGGACGUGACGGUACCUGGAGAAAAAGCGACGGCUAACUACGUG